GUGAAUCAUCGAAUUUUUGAACGGAAAUUGCACUCUCUUCGGAGAGUAUGCCUGUUUGAGGGUCGGCCUAAAAAAAAUCGACAUAGUUCUUGUUACGCGGUAACAUUCGUCGGAAAUGGGGUAAUCUUAAACCUUUGGGUUUAAGCGCUUUAAAAUUUUCUUUACGUUUCAAAGAAGGUUCUUAAGUUUUUAUUUUCUUUUACCUUUAUGGUAUCGU
rnacentral:misc_RNA from 1 species